CGGCGUGUGGCGCAGCCUGGUAGCGCACUACUUUGGGGUAGUAGGGGCCGUGGGUUCAAAUCCCGCCACGCCGA
rnacentral:tRNA from 1 species